CGGCGAGUGAAGCGGCAACAGCUAAAAUUUGAAAUCUGGCUUCGGCCCGAGUUGUAAUUUGCAGAGGAUGCUUCUGGCGCGGUGCCUUCCGAGUUCCCUGGAACGGGACGCCACAGAGGGUGAGAGCCCCGUAUGGUCGGACACCAAGCCUGUGUGAAGCUCCUUCGACGAGUCGAGUAGUUUGGGAAUGCUGCUCUAAAUGGGAGGUAAAUCUCUUCUAAAGCUAAAUACCGGCCAGAGACCGAUAGCGCACAAGUAGAGUGAUCGAAAGAUGAAAAGCACCUUGAAAAGGGGGUUAAAUAGUACGUGAAAUUGUUGAAAGGGAAGCGUUUAUGACCAGACUUGCGCCGGGCGGCUCAUCAGGGGUUCUCCCCUGUGCAUUCCGCCCGGCUCAGGCCAGCAUCGGUUCUCGUGGGGGGAUAAGACCGCCGGGAACGUAGCACCCUCCGGGGUGUGUUAUAGCCCGGCGGACGAUACCCUCGUGGGGACCGAGGUUUCCGCUCCGCAAGGAUGCUGGCUAAUGGCCAUCCA
rnacentral:rRNA from 2 species